rnacentral:tRNA from 1 species
GGAGAUGUAGCUCAGUGGUAGAGCACUUGUCUAGUGUGCAGGAGGCCCUGGGUUCAAUCUCCAACACAAUCA